GACGAACGCUGGCGGCGCGCUUAACACAUGCAAGUCGAGCGAGAACCAGGCCUUCGGGCCUGGGGACAGCGGCGAACGGGUGAGUAACACGUGGGUAAUCAACCCUCGGUACUGGGAUAGCCCGGGGAAACCCGGAUUAAUACCGGAUGGCCCUUCGGAGCUUCGGUUCCGAAGGAAAAGGUAGCUUCGGCCUCCGACCGAGGACGAGCCCGCGGCGGAUUAGCUUGUUGGUGGGGUAACGGCCUACCAAGGCGGCGAUCCGUAGCUGGUAUGAGAGGACGAUCAGCCACACUGGGACUGAGACACGGCCCAGACUCCUACGGGAGGCAGCAGUGGGGAAUCUUGCGCUAAUGCGGGAAGCCGUGACGCAGCGACGCCGCGUGAGGGAAGAAGGCCUUCGGGUUGUAAACCUCUUUCAGGAGGGACGAAGCUACUCGGGUUAAUAGCCCAGAGGGUGACGGUACCUCCAGAAGAAGCCCCGGCUAACUACGUGCCAGCCGCCGCGGUAACAC
rnacentral:rRNA from 1 species